UUUGGUAUUUUUUUUUUAGUGCCAACCUUGCUUUCCAAAGUACUCCAGACACAAUAGUCCAACGGAUUGGUAUCCGGAGAUUUUGGUGGGCAUUGUGAGCUGGAAAUGAAGCAAGGAACCUCAUUUUGUAACCAUUCUUGGGUCGCGCGUGCUGAGUCCUUUUGGAAUGUCCAAGCGACCCACACCAUCAUUAUAGCCGGCGCUUUAGUUCUGGUGGUCAACCGAAGGUGCAUAUUUUCAGCUGACCUCUUUGGCAAGUUAACACGAUCAUUUUGUUUGUUUACAAACUGCUGGACAAUGAAUGUUUUCACAUCGGAGAAAACAAAAUUCGGCAGUUCACCACUUUCGGCCAAGCGAAGCAACUCUAUAGCUCUUUUGAGUCAAUUUUCUUUCCGUUGCGGUGUAAUUUAUUACAUUUUUUGGAAUUUCAAUGGCUU